CGAGCCAAAAGAACUCGAAUGAACUACCAAAAUCUGAAUCAGAUUCUGCAGAAUCUCGGUGCAAUUCAAAAUCUGAGAAAAACCUGGUUUCUCCCACAAUCUCAAGAUUCUACCAAGUCCCACAAAAGAAAACCUUUCGGAUUAAUACCAUACCCCUAUUGUACCACGUAAUUACAGGCAAAAUGCCACCGAGCAGUCAAUCAAAACGCCCCGCAUCUGCACACCUCGCCUCUGCACCGAGCAAUCCUCAGGCCGCAUCUGCGCGCGCUCCUCAGGCCGCCCCCGCCCCGCCGCCGGCAGGCCCCGUCGCCCCGCCGCCCGCAGGCCCCGUCUCCCCGCUCGUCAGGCCGGCGUCCGCCCCGCUCCUCAGGCCGGCCCCGCCCCGCCCCGCCUCCGGCCGGCCAGGCCCCGCCCCGCCCACGCUGCAGUCUGCCCCACCCCGCUGUGAGCUUCGUUCUUCUUCCCUGUAAAUAAACAGACAUAUAUUGCUGCUUAUUUGUUAGAUGGAUGGAUGGAUUUGCUGCUUAUUUGUUAGAUGGAUGGAUGGAUGGAUUUGCUGCUUAUUUGUUAGAUGGAUGGAUGAAUUUGCUGCUUAUUUGUUAGAUGGAUGGAUGAAUUUGCUGCUUAUACAAUUUGGGAUAGUGCUGUCAAUAUUUCCUGCUGUCAAUGUAUUGCUAGAUAGUGUUGUCAAUGUUUCCUGCUGUCAAUGCUAAUGUGGUAAUGUUGAAUAAUAAUGGUAGAUGGAGAAAGUUAAAGAGCCCAAAGCAAAUUGGGAUAGUGCUGCUCAUACAAUUUAUAUGACUGCUUGCGUAGAGGAGGUUCGAGGAAAUAAUC
rnacentral:lncRNA from 1 species